rnacentral:rRNA from 1 species
CCUACGGGCGGCAGCAGUGAGGAAUAUUGGUCAAUGGGCUUACGCCUGAACCAGCCAAGUCGCGUGAGGGAAGACUGCCCUAUGGGUUGUAAACCUCUUUUGUCAGGGAGCAAUUGGCGCUACGUGUAGCGUUAUCGAGAGUACCUGAAGAAAAAGCAUCGGCUAACUCCGUGCCAGCAGCCGCGGUAAUACGGAGGAUGCGAGCGUUAUCCGGAUUUAUUGGGUUUAAAGGGUGCGUAGGCGGAAUGCAAAGUCAGCGGGAAAAUCGCGGGGCUCAACCUCGCUCCGCCGUUGAAACUGGCGUUCUUGAGUGGGCGAGAAGUAUGCGGAAUGCGUGGUGUAGCGGUGAAAUGCAUAGAUAUCACGCAGAACUCCGAUUGCGAAGGCAGCAUACCGGCGCCCAACUGACGCUGAAGCACGAAAGCGUGGGUAUCGAACAGGAUUAGAUACCCCAGUAGUC